AAAUUCCUCUCUUUGUACUCUUUCUCUUUAUUUCUCAGCUGGCCGACACUUACAGAAAAUAGAACCUACGUUGAAAUAUUGGAGGGAUGCCAAGUUGGAUAAAGAAGCAAAGCCUACUGGUAUGCUAUCUUCAAGAGACCCAUCUCACAUUCAAUGAGACCCAUAGGCUCAAAGUAAAGAGAUGAAAAAAAAUCUACCAAGCAAACAGAAAAC
rnacentral:lncRNA from 1 species